UUAUAUCUGCUCAUCUUAAGAUUAAAAAAGAUUGAUUAAAAGUUGAUUCAUUCCUUAAAGUCGUGUCUUUAUAAAAGGUUUGUAAUGUGGUAUUCUUUUAUUUGUAUCAUAUUAGGAUUCUUGAUACCUUAUUAUCAUGGACAAGAUGAACCCACAUUUAUGAUCUAUUUGAUCUGUGUGUCAAAAAACCAGAGUUCAAAAAACUGUGCUGGAACAUAUAUUAACGAUGGUUUUAUAUUAACUGCAGCCCAUUGUGUUAAAGAGUAAGUAAGUAAUUUUGCACUGGAACUAAAAGCUUGUAGAAAGUAAACUACUGUAAACUAUAAAAAUGAAACUGUUUUUAAAACUAGUUGCAAAAAUCGUAUAAAUUGAUAACAAUAACCGCUCACUUUUUUAGUGUUGAACAUUAUGGAGUCAUACUUGGAACACAAAAUAUAUUCGACUCGUCACAGCCUGGUGUACAAUUUAAACGAUAUGACAACAGUGACAUAAUUAUCCACGAUCACUAUGAAGAUGGAGAUACACUCUAUCAUAACGAUAUUGCGCUAAUCAAAUUAAAUGAUAACGACAAGAGGAAAAUAGAUGAAACACCUAACAUUGCAAAUAUUUUAAUAUCUGAAUAUCUCAAUGAAGAUCAAACCAAUUUUUACGUUUACUUUUGGCCUGAAAACGAAAAUGAAUUGGAGAAGACACGUACAGAAAGAGAAGAAUGCCAAGAAACGAUAAAAAACGAUUCAUUAAUCUGCACUAUCUUUGUUCAUAACAUUACCCCGGGAGCCUCUGGUGGACCUUUAAUCGUUGACAAUGGUAACACACAGAUAGGUAUUGUGUCUGGAGCUUUGAAUAAUCAAAUGGUAUACACAUAUUUGCCUUAUUAUAAGUCUUGGAUUGAAAACCACACUGAUAAAACAGUCACAUCGGAAGCAACUUUUAACCCAGCGAAAGGAACAGAAAUGAUAACUAUUCCAACUACUACCGAGCCAACAUCAAACUCAAGUAAUAAAAAAGACACACAAGUAUUAGUAGUAUAUGCAUUAGUCUUUAUAGUAAUAAUAAUAAUAAUAUGGGUUCUUUUAUUAUUCAUUCUAUUAUUAUUUAAUAUUAAAAGCUAAUUCUUUUUAAAUGUUUAAA